rnacentral:rRNA from 1 species
CCUACGGGGUGCAGCAGUCGAGAAUCAUUCACAAUGGGGGAAACCCUGAUGGUGCGACGCCGCGUGGGGGAAUGAAGGUCUUCGGAUUGUACACCCCUGUCAUGUGGGAGCAAAUUAAAAAGAUAGUACCACAAGAGGAAGAGACGGCUACCUCUGUGCCAGCAGCCGCAGUAAUACAGAGGUCUCAAGCGUUGUUCGUAAUCACUGGGCGUAAAGCGUGCGUAGGCUGUUUCGUAAGUCGUGUGUGAAAGGCGAGGGCUCAACCCGCGGAAGGCACAUGAUACUGCGAGACUAGGGUAAUGGAGGGGGAACCGGAAUUCUCGGUGUAGCAGUGAAAUGCGUAGAUAUCGAGAGGAACACUCGUGGCGAAGGCGGGUUCCUGGACAUUAACUGACGCUGAGGCACGAAGGCCAGGGGAGCGAAAGGGAUUAGAUACCCUUGUAGUC